rnacentral:rRNA from 1 species
UACGGAGGGUCCAAGCGUUAUCCGGAAUCAUUGGGCUUAAAGGGUCCGUAGGCGGCUUUGUAAGUCAGUGGUGAAAGCCCAUCGCUCAACGGUGGAACGGCCAUUGAUACUGCAAGACUUGAAUUAUUGGGAAGUAACUAGAAUAUGUAGUGUAGCGGUGAAAUGCUUAGAGAUUACAUGGAAUACCAAUUGCGAAGGCAGGUUACUGCCAAUAUAUUGACGCUGAUGGACGAAAGCGUGGGGAGCGAACAGG